UUCGCUGACGAGUGGCGGACGGGUGAGUAAUGUCUGGGAAACUGCCUGAUGGAGGGGGAUAACUACUGGAAACGGUAGCUAAUACCGCAUAACGUCGCAAGACCAAAGAGGGGGACCUUCGGGCCUCUUGCCAUCGGAUGUGCCCAGAUGGGAUUAGCUAGUAGGUGGGGUAACGGCUCACCUAGGCGACGAUCCCUAGCUGGUCUGAGAGGAUGACCAGCCACACUGGAACUGAGACACGGUCCAGACUCCUACGGGAGGCAGCAGUGGGGAAUAUUGCACAAUGGGCGCAAGCCUGAUGCAGCCAUGCCGCGUGUAUGAAGAAGGCCUUCGGGUUGUAAAGUACUUUCAGCGGGGAGGAAGGGAGUAAAGUUAAUACCUUU
rnacentral:rRNA from 1 species